rnacentral:rRNA from 1 species
UUCGCAAUGCCCGAAAGGGUGACGAACCGACGCCGCGUGGGUGAGGAAGGCCCUCGGGUUGUAAAGCCCUGUCAGGAGUUAAGAAAUGUAGGCACGCUAAUACCGUGUUUAUUUGACAAAGGCUCCAAAGGAAGCCACGGCUAACUCUGUGCCAGCAGCCGCGGUAAUACAGAGGUGGCAAGCGUUGUUCGGAAUUAUUGGGCGUAAAGAGCACGUAGGUGGAUUUGUAAGUCAGAUGUGAAAGCCUUCUGUUCAACGGAAGAAUUGCAUCUGAAACUACAGACCUUGAGUAUAGGAGGGGAGA